rnacentral:lncRNA from 1 species
CACUAUUUUUAAUAUUGACUGCUUUGGUCCCCUAACAGUACGAAUCGGGCAAAUUCUAAUGUGAUCAUGCAAGUGCUUAGUUCCUUGCUUCGUGUCACCUCCAAUCUUUCUUUCGCAAUAUUUACAUAUUGCCUUCCACUUUCCAUCUAUUUUCUCCCUCCUAAAAUGUUUCCAAGCCUCAGAUGUUAAUCCUUUUUUGUUAGGACUGUUUUGCACUUCUUGGCUAACUUCUUGUCCUCCCUCUUGUGUUUCUUCUUGUCCUUCCUCUUGUGUUCCUUGAAUAUGUGCUUCAAUUGCUUGACCCUCAUCAUCUUGAGUUGGUUCUAUCUCAUUAUUAUUUUCAAUAGGAGUUGAGCUAAAGCUAUCCA